rnacentral:rRNA from 1 species
UACGUAGGGGGCGAGCGUUGUCCGGAAUCAUUGGGCGUAAAGAGCGUGUAGGCGGCCAGGUAGGUCUGCUGUGAAACUCGAGGCUCAACCUCGAGACGUCGGCGGAAACCAUCUGGCUAGAGUCCGGAAGAGGAGAGUGGAAUUCCUGGUGUAGCGGUGAAAUGCGCAGAUAUCAGGAAGAACACCCGUGGCGAAGGCGGCUCUCUGGGACGGUACUGACGCUGAGACGCGAAAGCGUGGGGAGCGAACAGG